GAGUUUGAUCGUGGCUCAGAUUGAACGCUGGCGGCAUGCCUUACACAUGCAAGUCGAACGGCAGCAUGAUCUAGCUUGCUAGAUUGAUGGCGAGUGGCGAACGGGUGAGUAAUACAUCGGAACGUGCCCUGUAGUGGGGAGUAACUAGUCGAAAGAAUUAGCUAAUACCGCAUACGACCUGAGGGUGAAAGUAGGGGGACCGGCAAGGCCUCAUGCUAUAGGAGCGGCCGAUGUCUGAUUAGCUAGUUGGUGGGGU
rnacentral:rRNA from 1 species